rnacentral:rRNA from 1 species
UUGACCUCGGAUCAGGUAGGGAUACCCGCUGAACUUAAGCAUAUCAAUAAGCGGAGGAGAA